UUUUUCGAGAGUUUGAUCCUGGCUCAGGAUGAACGCUGGCUGUGUGCCUAAUACAUGCAUGUCGAGCGAAGUACUUUUGUACUUAGCGGCGAAUGGGUGAGUAACACGUACUCAACGUACCCUUCAGAUUGGGAUAGCGGUUGGAAACAACCGAUAAUACCAAAUACUUGUAGUUAUCGCAUGAUGAUUACAUAAAAGGCGCGUUUGCGCCACUGGAGGAGCGGGGUGCGUAACAUUAGCUUGUUGGUGAGGUAACGGCCCACCAAGGCGAUGAUGUUUAGCGGGGUUGAGAGACUGAACCGCCACACUGGGACUGAGAUACGGCCCAGACUCCUACGGGAGGCAGCAGUAGGGAAUAUUCCACAAUGGACGAAAGUCUGAUGGAGCGACACAGCGUGCAGGAUGAAGGCCCCAUGGGUUGUAAAC
rnacentral:rRNA from 1 species